rnacentral:sRNA from 1 species
UCCAUGUUGGGCCAGGAGACUUCAGAUCCAUGUCCUGGUGCUGCCUCUGGCUUUGUCUUUCCUCAGUGAGCAGGGCUGGGUCUGCUAGUCCAUCUUUACCCUUCUCUGAGCUAUGCAGCCUUGGCCGGCUGCGUCUCCAGCCUGUAUUCUCUCCCCUUCACUCAGGCCCUGGGAAACCAGCCCAGUUUCUGGCAGGAGUGGCAGAGGAGGUCGAUGCCUUUGCUCUAAGCUUCCUGAGCACCAGCAGUGGUGUCUCUGGAGAAGAUGAAAUAGAGCCCUUACAUGAUGGAGUUGAAGAGGCAGAGAAAAAGAUGGAAAAAGAAGGUGUGAGUGUGAGUGAAAUGGAGGCAACAGGAGCACAAGGACCCAGCAGGGUAGAAGAGGCCAAGGGACACACAGACGUGACAGAAGCAGAGGGAUCCCAGGGGACUGCUGAGGCCGAGGGGCCAAGAGCAUCUUCAGGGGAUGAGGAUGCCUGUGGCAGGGAAGCAAGUCCAGAGUCGGCCUCCAGCACCCCUGAGUCUCUCCAGGCCAGGCGACAUCAUCAGUUUCUUGAGCCAGCCCCAAUGCCUGGUGCUGCAGUCUUAUCUUCAGAGCCUGCAGAGCCUCUGUUGGUCAGGCAUCCCCUUAGGCCCCGGACCACCGGCCCCAGGCCCCGGCAAGAUCCCCACAAGGCUGGACUGAGUCACUAUGUGAAACUCUUUAGCUUCUAUGCCAAGAUGCCCAUGGAGAGGAAGGCUCUUGAGAUGGUGGAGAAGUGGUGAGUCCGGGGCACGUGGGGUAGGAGAGGAACCCCUGGGGUCAUGAUCAGACUGUUCAGCCUGCUCUAUCACCACCUUCUUGGCAGCCUAGAUAAAUAUUUCCAGCAUCUUUGUGACGACCUGGAGGUAUUUGCUGCCCAUGCUGGCCGCAAGACUGUGAAGCCAGAGGACCUGGAGCUGCUGAUGCGGCGGCAGGGCCUGGUCACCGACCAAGUCUCACUGCAUGUGCUAGUGGAGCGGCACCUGCCACUGGAGUACCGGCAGCUGCUCAUCCCCUGUGCGUACGGUGGCAACUCUGUCUUCCCUGCCCAGUAGUGGCCAGGCUUCAACACUUUCCCUGUCCCCACCUGGGGCCUCUUGCCCCCACAUAUUUCUCCAGGUCUCCUCCCCACCCCCC